rnacentral:rRNA from 1 species
GAUGAACGCUGGCGGCGUGCCUAAUACAUGCAAGUCGAGCGAACAGACGAGGAGCUUGCUCCUCUGACGUUAGCGGCGGACGGGUGAGUAACACGUGGAUAACCUACCUAUAAGACUGGGAUAACUUCGGGAAACCGGAGCUAAUACCGGAUAAUAUAUUGAACCGCAUGGUUCAAUAGUGAAAGACGGUUUUGCUGUCACUUAUAGAUGGAUCCGCGCCGCAUUAGCUAGUUGGUAAGGUAACGGCUUACCAAGGCAACGAUGCGUAGCCGACCUGAGAGGGUGAUCGGCCACACUGGAACUGAGACACGGUCCAGACUCCUACGGGAGGCAGCAGUAGGGAAUCUUCCGCAAUGGGCGAAAGCCUGACGGAGCAACGCCGCGUGAGUGAUGAAGGUCUUUGGAUCGUAAAACUCUGUUAUUAGGGAAGAACAAAUGUGUAAGUAACUAUGCACGUCUUGACGGUACCUAAUCAGGAAGCCACGGCUAACUACGUG